rnacentral:rRNA from 1 species
UACGUAGGGUGCAAGCGUUGUCCGGAAUUAUUGGGCGUAAAGAGCGUGUAGGCGGCCCGAUUAGUCCGCUGUGAAAGUCCAGGGCUCAACCCUGGAAUGCCGGUGGAUACUGUCAGGCUAGAGUCCGGAAGGGGUGAGUGGAAUUCCUGGUGUAGCGGUGAAAUGCGCAGAUAUCAGGAGGAACACCGGUGGCGAAGGCGGGUCUCUGGGCCGAUACUGACGCUGAGGAGCGAAAGCGUGGGGAGCGAACAGG